GGGUUUGAGUUAAGUUGUAGAAAUUCUAUUGCUAAUAUGUAUUUUUAUUGUAGUAGAGUUGAAUUGGCGGAGAAAGUUUUUGUUGGAACAGAGAGGGAUGUUGUUUCUAGGCUAGUAAAGAUAAGGGGUUAUGUAUUUAAUCAUAUGUAUGCUGAUGCUGUGAGGUACAUUUUGUCAAUGGAGAAUGCUGUUGAAAUUUUAGUUAUGGAUCAGACUAUUUUCGUGCCUCUGCUAUCUGCUUGCGCCAAGAUGCGUUUGCUCAAUGCCGG
rnacentral:misc_RNA from 1 species